rnacentral:tRNA from 1 species
AGGUAAUUAGUCUAACACAAAACAUUUGAUUUCGGCUCAAAAAUUUAUGGUUCAAACCCAUAAUUACCCA